ensembl:miRNA MIR8084 microRNA 8084
CAGAUAAAUAGAAUACUAAGUAAAAAAUCAGUAUGGAUUAAAUUUAUAUUUUCCUCGAUACUGAGUAUUUUUUCUUAGGUUUAGUUUGG